rnacentral:rRNA from 1 species
CCUACGGGAGGCAGCAGUGAGGAAUAUUGGUCAAUGGACGAGAGUCUGAACCAGCCAAGUAGCGUGAAGGAUGACUGCCCUAUGGGUUGUAAACUUCUUUUAUAUGGGAAUAAAAUGUUCCACGUGUGGGAUUUUGUAUGUACCAUAUGAAUAAGGAUCGGCUAACUCCGUGCCAGCCGCCGCGGUAAUACGGAGGAUCCGAGCGUUAUCCGGAUUUAUUGGGUUUAAAGGGAGCGUAGGUGGAUUGUUAAGUCAGUUGUGAAAGUUUGCGGCUCAACCGUAACAUUGCAGUUGAAACUGGCAGUCUUGAGUACAGUAGAGGUGGGCGGAAUUCGUGGUGUAGCGGUGAAAUGCUUAGAUAUCACGAAGAACUCCGAUUGCGAAGGCAGCUCACUGGACUGCAACUGACACUGAGGCUCGAAAGUGUGGGUAUCAAACAGGAUUAGAUACCCCUGUAGUC